UAACAACAACAAAAAAGAAGUCCUCCAGUUACCGAUGUGCUUUCAUUUUAUUUUCCAUUCUUUGGCUCUUAACUCUGUUAUUAGUUUAUAUAUCCCAGGCCCCGGUGGUAGUAACUACUUUACCCAGGCCUGUUCAGGCAUCCCUCACUGUCCAGCUUCUGUCCUUUCCACUAGGCCUAUAAAAUGAUCAAACUUUUUUAUAUGCACAAGUAUUUUCAUGUGUGUCCCCUCUGUCUUUGUCGUAAACGAAACUUUGUGUUUCUCCCAAACCUGUAUGUCGUGAGCAGACUUCUCGAAGGGAUCACUCACCACAGCUCACUGGGAACCUAGGUAGAAGGGUACCACUUCCAGACCAUUGCUCUCGCUGCCAUCAGCCUCACUUUUUUUUUUCACUGUUUACUACAAAACAAAGUAAUUUCAAGAUAUUUUUUAAAAUUGACGUUAAGAAGCUAGAUUAGGUAACUUCUUAUAAUAUGUGACAUUAAAUAUUUUGAGAAAUUCUUGGUUUCAUUGGAAGGCAUUUGUAAUGAUAAACCUUUUUUCAGUUAUAAUAAGAUACUAAGCAGAGAUAAUUUUGUCAUCCCAGAUAGCAAUUUCUUAUUAACAAUUGAUAAUAUUUGAACUGAAAGAGAUUCUUGGCUUUAUUUCUAUAUUUUUUUCUAUUUAGGUAUUUAACUUUUUUGACAUCCUCUUAUCCCCUCAAUAGGAUCCGAAAUAUGUCUAAAAUUAAUUCAAAAGAAAACUAUUUGAAUUAUUGCUUGUGUUUGAAAACAGUACUUACUGUAGUAUUCCACAGUUUCUUCUUUUUUUUAGGCUAAGACAAUUAAAUAAAAAUGUAAUGGAUAAGAAAUAUAGUUGAAGUCACAAUAAAGUAUAUUUUCUUUUAUGGACAUAAAACAUAAAUUUUAAAUGUUGGCUAUUUAAGAAAAAAAUUCUCCUGGUAAAUAUUAUGCAUAACCAUUGCUCAAAAAUGUAUACAGCUGUUUUCCAACAUAUUUAUAUACAUAGUGGUUCACUUAAGACCAGCCCUGUUAGAACCUUCUGAAUAUAAUGUGCUCUUAAUUUAUAAAUGGGCUACCCUCAGUGUAUAAAAUAUAUAGGCAUAUAUGUUAUACAUACAAAGUAAAAAAUAUAAAAAGGAAAGAUGGAAGAAAAAAGAAAGUAUCCUUUCCUAUAAGAUCCAGACAGAAAGUCAUUAUAAUUAGUGGGACCAUGGAAAAUAUUGGAAGGAUUUCAGUUUUGGCAAAUACUUUUCAGAAAAAUAUCCAAGCUAUGAGAACACUAAAUGUCUAUCUUAAUAAUUUAGUAGAUGUUUCUAUUCAAACAUUCAGUGAAGGUGUUUCCAUCUUCUACUAUGUAGAAAAGAAGACUUUUGGGGUGUCUGUUAAAAGCGAAGAGCUGCUCAUUUUUAACAGCAUUAAUCUGAGGUUCAAACCGCUCCAUUGUGACGGCGGAGAAAUCCUCAGGUUCAAGACUCCAUACGACGACUCCUUCUGCAGCCCCUGCCGCCAUGGCAGCACCCAAUGCAGUGGUUUCGGGCAUCAAGGGCUUCACUACUGGAAUAUACAGAAUGUCUGCUUGUAGCUGCAUAAGAAUUUUGUUGCUGGUCCUUCCUCCAUCAACCUGCAAAUGACUGAGUGGAAUUCCACAGUCUCAAUUCAUGGCAUCCAAAAUCUCUCGAAUAUGGAAACAAACAGCUUCUAAUGCAGCAAAAGCAAUAUGGCAUUUAUUGGUAAACUGAGUGAGUCCACAGAUUAUCCCUCUUGCGCUGGGCUCCCAAUAAGGUGCAUAUAACCCCGAAAAUGCUGGGACGAAGUAGCUGCCAUAAGAAGUACCUACUUCUUUAGCAAGUUUUUCAAUUUCUUCUGAGGUCUUUAUAAUUCCAAGAUUGUCUCUUAGCCAGCGAAUAACAGCACCAGCUAUAGCUACAGAACCUUCCAAAG
rnacentral:lncRNA from 1 species